CCUUACCUGGCCUUGACAUACUAAGAACUUUCCAGAGAUGGAUUGGUGCCUUCGGGAACUUAGAUACAGGUGCUGCAUGGCUGUCGUCAGCUCGUGUCGUGAGAUGUUGGGUUAAGUCCCGCAACGAGCGCAACCCUUUUCCUUAUUUGCCAGCGGGUUAAGCCGGGAACUUUUAAGGAUACUGCCAGUGACAAACUGGAGGAAGGCGGGGACGACGUCAAGUCAUCAUGGCCCUUACGGCCAGGGCUACACACGUGCUACAAUGGUCGGUACAAAGGGUUGCUACCUCGCGAGAGGAUGCUAAUCUCAAAAAGCCGAUCGUAGUCCGGAUCGCAGUCUGCAACUCGACUGCGUGAAGUCGGAAUCGCUAGUAAUCGCGGAUCAGAAUGCCGCGGUGAAUACGUUCCCGGGCCUUGUACACACCGCCCGUCACACCAUGGGAGUUUGUUGCACCAGAAGUAGGUAGUCUAACCGCAAGGAGGACGCUUACCACGGUGUGGCCGAUGACUGGGGUGAAGUCGUAACAAGGUAAGCGUAGAUGA
rnacentral:rRNA from 1 species